rnacentral:snRNA from 1 species
AUAGUCUGAUUUCUCUCUUCAGGUCGUACAAAUUUUCCGCCUUUUACUAAAGAUUUCUGUAGAGAGGAACAAGUACGAGUCAUAAGAAAAUUUUUGUGGCUCCAUUACGGUAGAGC